UACGAAGGGGGCUAGCGUUGCUCGGAAUUAUUGGGCGUAAAGCGCGUGUAGGCGGCUUUGUAAGUCAGGUGUGAAAGCCCUCGCUUAACCGAGGAAGUGCGCCUGAAACUACAUAGCUUGAGUACCGGAGAGGAUGGCGGAAUUCCCCAAGUAGAGGUGAAAUUCGUAGAUAUGGGGAGGAACACCGGUGGCGAAGGCGGCCAUCUGGACGGAUACUGACGCUGAGACGCGAAAGCGUGGGGAGCAAACAGG
rnacentral:rRNA from 1 species